rnacentral:rRNA from 1 species
ACUGAACGCUGGCGGCAGGCCUAACACAUGCAAGUCGAACGGUAACAGGAAGAAGCUUGCUUCUUUGCUGACGAGUGGCGGACGGGUGAGUAAUGUCUGGGAAACUGCCUGAUGGAGGGGGAUAACUACUGGAAACGGUAGCUAAUACCGCAUAACGUCGCAAGACCAAAGAGGGGGACCUUCGGGCCUCUUGCCAUCGGAUGUGCCCAGAUGGGAUUAGCUAGUAGGUGGGGUAACGGCUCACCUAGGCGACGAUCCCUAGCUGGUCUGAGAGGAUGACCAGCCACACUGGAACUGAGACACGGUCCAGACUCCUACGGGAGGCAGCAGUGGGGAAUAUUGCACAAUGGGCGCAAGCCUGAUGCAGCCAUGCCGCGUGUAUGAUGAAGGCCUUCGGGUUGUAAAGUACUUUCAGCGGGGAGGAAGGGAGUAAAGUUAAUACCUUUGCUCAUUGACGUUACCCGCAGAAGAAGCACCGGCUAACUCCGUG